GGAGUAAUGCUGGGAAACUGCCUGAUGGAGGGGGACAACUACUGGAAACGGUAGCUAAUACCGCAUAACGUCUUCGGACCAAAGUGGGGGACCUUCGGGCCUCAUGCCAUCAGAUGUGCCCAGAUGGGAUUAGCUAGUAGGUGGGGUAACGGCUCACCUAGGCGACGAUCCCUAGCUGGUCUGAGAGGAUGACCAGCCACACUGGAACUGAGACACGGUCCAGACUCCUACGGGAGGCAGCAGUGGGGAACAUUGCACAAUGGGCGCAAGCCUGAUGCAGCCAUGCCGCGUGUAUGAAGAAGGCCUUCGGGUUGUAAAGUACUUUCAGCGAGGAGGAAGGCAUUAAGGUUAAUAACCUUAGUGAUUGACGUUACUCGCAGAAGAAGCACCGGCUAACUCCGUGCCAGCAGCCGCGGUAAUACGGAGGGUGCAAGCGUUAAUCGGAAUUACUGGGCGUAAAGCGCACGCAGGCGGUCUGUCAAGUCGGAUGUGAAAUCCCCGGG
rnacentral:rRNA from 1 species